UAGUUCCUUUCUAGGAGAGGAUGGGAUGGGAGAUAGGUCUGACUAGCUGGAAGUGGAAAUGCUGGAUCCAGAGGAAGGCCUGUAGGCAUACCCUUAUGAUCCCUGCCCUGAGUAAUUGGCAGGGAGCUGGCAGGAACCCAGGAGGCCUCUGAGACUCUUAUUAAGCCUAGGAUAUACUUAGAAUUGCCAUCUUAAGUACAUCUAGAAGCCACAGACUGUACAUGUGAAACAUUGCAACAGAGUAUGUGGAAGCCAUAGCUGAUGUUUAAGAAGCAGAACUAACCAGUACCAGAGAUGCUUGGGGACAAAGUCUGCUUUGUUACAUUGGUGUGAAUCUGGAAAAACUCCAUUGACUUCAAUGUAGAUACUGAAGAUAGACACUGGUGUAACUGAGAGCAGAAGAUAGCCCAUAACGUACAAAUCAGAAGAAUAUAAAAGUCCUCAAUGCAAAAUUCUGUUACUGCAAAGAAGUGUCCACCCUCAAGUCUUCCAGCAUAAACAGAACUGGACUGUCACUCUGUUUACUUUAUCAAAAAGAAGUUUGGGAGAUAACUCGAUUACAGUGUAUAUGUACCUUCAUGGGGAGAAAAUAGUGCUUCAUCUAGCAGAGAAAGCUGUAGUAAGAACCAAUGAAUGGAAGUUGAAGCCAGACAAAUUCCAUGGCCCAUGUUAAGGUGAAAAGGGGAUCAUCUCAUCAAAAGUGAUUAUACAAUACACAUAUUUUGCUGCAUAUUUUUAAAUGCAAAAACUGCCAUUUUACCAAUAUUUCACAACAUGGAAAAUUUGGGGAGUAGGGUUGGGAGUUGGAGGAGAAAAUCAUGUCAAAUAGAAUGGUAAAAGUUUGAGUUAAAUUAUGUGAAACACCAACUUUGAAUUUCAUCCAGCUCUGAAAUUAACAGCUGCACAGCUACUGAGGUGUUGUGUGCAAUGACUCUGACUUCCCAGGUUCUCUUGCAGAUGCUCACAUAAUUUGAGCACAGUUUAGCUAGCUCAUGACACUAAAACCCUGCUGCUCUCUGAUGCUUUUGAAAGUCAGUCUAAGGGUCAGAGAGAUAAUGCUGUGAGAUACAAGCAAUCUGCUGAUCCUGUCUGUCCAUGACAAUCAUAUGGGUGAACAAGUACAGAGAGGACAUCUGAGGAAAAGGAAAAAUGUCAUUCCCACACAGCACGCAUCAACUGCCAGCUGGUAAGGGCCUGAUCAGAGCCCAUCAAACCACAGGAGACUUUCUAUUGCCUUUAGUGGGCUUUGGAUCAGGCGGCUCCUAAUGAAAAAGCUGCACAGGUCCAUUGACCACAAACCCUGUAACUGCCUGAAGAGCAUGAGAGGCUGGGAGGGAGGAGUGGAGAAUGUAGACCAAAAGCCCAUGACUACUAUGGCAACACAUUUGUUGCUGCUUCACAUAUGCCCUAGGCCCUGUCUGGGUUGGAGAAAUGGAUUCCGUUUCUCCAUGUCAGUGAUGUUUCCCCUCCCAAAAUCCCUUUACUUGGGCAUUACCCAGAGGACAUGCAUGAAACCUAAUGGCACAAAAUAGCCUUACAUAAAUAAUGUGGGUAACGUUUAUUUAUAGUACGUACAAAUAGAAAACUAGCUCUUGACAUACUGAUAACCGAUACAGGUAGAAAAAAAUCAUUAAGAUUAAAAAUACAAUGGAUUUUUGGUGUAUAAUUUAAAAUCUCUCCGCUCCCUGUCUAUCCCCCCUUUCUAUCUGGAUAGCAUACUGGUGUGCUAUUGUAUAGUCUUAAUCCUGACUGCUGGGUUGUUGGCAUUUCAUUUUCCAGGGGGCAGAGAGAAACACUGAAGCUAUUUCCAGGAUAAAGAAUUAUAGGUACUAAAGAAUUAUAGAUACUAAAUAAAGAAACAGUACAUCAAAUAUGGGUCCUAGUUCCCGUCAUUCAUCUCAGUACGCAAACGUACACUAUAUAUAAUACAUACAUUCCCUAUGCAUGUUACAGAUAAUAUACAUGCCCCCACUGACAUGGAAACCCUUUGAUGUCAUGGCCAAAAUUAGUAAGAUAUGUAUAGUGUUUUCAGAUGAAACAUCCAAAAUUACCUUAAAACAGCUGAAAAAUGACCUAGUAUCUAGACAGGAACUAGGAUAACUAAUAGGAUUUCUUAGAGUAAAUGAGUACCACCACUGGCUUUCACAGCUAGGUCCUAUUCACUCAUUUUACCCUGUAGGCCCCAGAAACAUUCUUGACUGAACAAUUUUUAAACUUCUAGGACUUCUGAGUUGAGAGAAGUAGCUUAUAAAAACAGCCAAAAAACUCUCUGUAGCUGCUUUAAAAAAAUCCUGCAAUUGCCUUAAAAAUGGUUUGCCAAGCCACAGGCGACCCAUAGACCUAGCUGCACAGCAAUCAGUGUGUCAGCUCCCGUUAGAAGUUUCAUGGGUUUGGGUAGGUUUUGUUGCUCCCAGGUGUAAUCAAAUAUGGUUUUGUGUAUGUUAAUUUCCUUUGUUUUUUAACCACAGCACAUACAUAGCAAAAUGUGUAGCAUCUGAAGACUCAGUAGUGUCUGAGAGGUGAUCAUCAGCAUAACAACACUGCUCACAUGGUUUUGUUAUAGCAGUCUGUGUAACCAUCUGUCAUCAUACUGCUACUUGAGGUGCUAGUAUAUAAAUUGCUGUAAUAAAAUCUGUUUAAAAUAAUAGAAGGGGCCUCUCCCUCCAUAACCCCAGAUACAUUUUCUGUGCCCAAUCUGGAGAGCUCUUGGGUCUGUCUGAGAUCCUUCAUCUGCUUGCAGUGCCAAGUGUUGUGCCUUCAUUGUCAUAGCAGAUACUGGGUUUAGUCUAAGUAAUAGACAUUAUUCAGUCAUCUAGUGCCUUUUCAGUUUAUAUUGCUGGCUAUGACCCAAAGAGCCCUCACUUCUGCUGUGUAAAUAACUAUUGUAUUAGUACCAUUGUAUAGUAAUACUGUGGUAAUUUAAUUUCAUUAAAAAAAUUUCAAUUAUG